UACGUAGGGUGCCAGCGUUCAUCGGAAUUCCUGGGCGUAAAGCGUGCGCAGGCGGCUCGGAAAGAAAGAUGUGAAAUCCCAGGGCUUAACCUUGGAAUGGCAUUUUUAACUCCCGAGCUAGAGUAUGUCAGAGGGGGGUAGAAUUCCACGUGUAGCAGUGAAAUGCGUAGAGAUGUGGAGGAAUACCGAUGGCGAAGGCAGCCCCCUGGGAUAAUACUGACGCUCAGGCACGAAAGCGUGGGGAGCAAACAGG
rnacentral:rRNA from 1 species